AGUGAACGCUGGCGGUAGGCCUAACACAUGCAAGUCGAACGGCAGCACAGUAAGAGCUUGCUCUUACGGGUGGCGAGUGGCGGACGGGUGAGGAAUACAUCGGAAUCUACUUUUUCGUGGGGGAUAACGUAGGGAAACUUACGCUAAUACCGCAUACGACCUACGGGUGAAAGCAGGGGAUCUUCGGACCUUGCGCGAUUGAAUGAGCCGAUGUCGGAUUAGCUAGUUGGCGGGGUAAAGGCCCACCAAGGCGACGAUCCGUAGCUGGUCUGAGAGGAUGAUCAGCCACACUGGAACGGAGACCCGGUCCAGACCCCUACGGGAGGCAGCGGUGGGGAAUAUUGGAAAAGGGGCGCAAGCCUGAUCCAGCCAUACCGGGGGGGGGAAGAAGGCUUUCGGGUUGGAAAGCCCUUUUGUUGGGAAAGAAAAGAAGCAGGUUAAUACCCCGCUGUUCUGACGGUACCCAAAAAAAAAGCACCGGCUAACUUCGU
rnacentral:rRNA from 1 species